AUCUGAUGAUCUCAUCCUUUUUAGUGUUAGUUUUAUCUAUUAAUUUGGUUUAUCUGGAGAGGAUUUGGGCUAGACAAUUAGUAAUAAAGGGAUUAUGGUGAUGAUUUAAUUUGUUUGAUUCAGUAUUUUACUGUAUUGGACUUUUUGCUAUUCUGUUGACUAAAAUACAAUGCCGCACAAUAAUUGCUUUAAAUGUGCCUGAAAUGUAGGUUUUUGCAUAAAAAAAAACAACCUUCAACCUUGAUUGAGACAAAGGCAAUAAUUCAAAUGCAAUUCAAACUACACACAGUAUUUAAUAUUUUCAAAUGGUUACAAUAGCACAUUAUUUGGGUAUUUUUAUCUUUGGGGCAAAUUUAGGAUUAAUAUGGGGAUUGUUUUUGGAGGUAUUCACUUCACAUUGUGUUCAAGAUGGUUACUUCCGCCCACUCUGAAGAGUCUCGGCGUCUGAUUGGUCCAAUUUUCAGUUAGGCGCCGCCUGAUUGGCCGCUGGACGAUGUCUGCUCCUAACAGAGGGCUAAAUCACUAGUUAACAAUUUUCAUCAUGGAAGUUAUACAGCUCAUGUAUCACACUUAAUAUUGAAUAUAUAUAUAUAAAGGGUUUUCCAAAAGGACCAUUUAUAAUCGAAAUACACAACUUCACACACGAUUUUGAGCACAACAGAGCGCUCAGUGAACAUCACUUCCGGGACCUGCAUCACCAGAGGGGGACAUCUAUCUUGGCCACAAACCAUCUUUGAUAGUCUUCAGCAGCAUGGUUGAAUCAGGCGCAUCAACACAUGAUAUAGACAUCGUGCCCAAAAGAAGAGCGAGACGUAAUCCUGAGGCUGAAGCCACCGAGUUUAUUUGAUCUGGAUGUGACAAGUCUUGUUUUAAGGCCCAGUGGAUCAAUGAUUGGAAAGACACCAACUGUUGAUGUUCUAUCUCAACAUUCUCCAGAUUCAUGUUUGCGAUAAACCGACUUCAUCCCUCCAACAGACACCAACUGUUGGGGUUCUAUCUCAACAUUCUCCAGAUUCAGAUGUGAGCGAUAAACCGACUUCAUCCCUCCAACAGAAACCAACUGUUGAGGUUCCAUCUCAACAUUCUCCGGAUUCAGAUGUGAGCCAUUAACUGACUUCAUCCCUCCAACAGAAACCAACUGUUUGAGGUUCUAUCUCAACAUUCUCUAGAUUCAGAUGACAGCCAUAAACCGACUUCAUCCCUCCAACAGAUUGACAGCAGGACAAAUCGCUGGAAGUGGGUAUGUCUCAAGCUUCUUCCACUUGGUCCACUCUAAAGCGGGCUGCAAAGGGGAAGAAGUGGAAGCAGUUGAAUGACACAUGUUGCAUUUUGUAACUGGCAACAAAGUACCAGGUAAAAAAGAUUGUGAAGCCUGCCUCCAUAAAGAACUAGUAGCUCUACAGGACAGAGAUUGGCUUGCCAUCAAGUACUACAUCCAUAACAGAAUUAUAUUAAAAAAAGGGAAAAAAAAUGUUUUCCCACAUCUUCUGUGGUAGUUUGAGUAUGUUACCAGCAAUUAAAAAAGCAAAAUAAACA